rnacentral:rRNA from 1 species
AAUGAACGCUGGCGGCAGGCCUAACACAUGCAAGUCGAGCGAGAAAGCACCUUCGGGUGUGAGUAGAGCGGCAAACGGGUGAGUAACACGUGGGAACGUACCUUGAAGUCUGGAAUAGCCCCGGGAAACUGGGAUUAAUGCCGGAUAAUAUCUACGGAUUAAAGAUUUAUCGCUUCAAGAUCGGCCCGCGUUAGAUUAGCUAGUUGGUAAGGUAAAGGCUUACCAAGGCCACGAUCUAUAGCUGGUUUGAGAGGAUGAUCAGCCACACUGGAACUUAGACACGGUCCAGACUCCUACGGGAGGCAGCAGUGAGGAAUAUUGCACAAUGGAGGAAACUCUGAUGCAGCCAUGCCGCGUGAGUGAAGAAGGCCCUAGGGUUGUAAAACUCUUUUAGCGAGGAAGAUAAUGACAUUACUCGCAGAAAAAGCCCCGGCUAACUCCG